UCUAGUGGAAGAUGAAGAAGAUGAGUAUUGCUUUGAUAUCUUGCAUUGGUGGAAACACUAUGGUCGCAAGUAUCCAAUUCUUUCAAGAAUGGUUCGUGAUACCUUGGCCGUUCCUACAUCUACUGUUGCCUCAGAAUCUGCAUUUAGCAUUGGAGGUAGAUUAAUCACUGAUUAUCGCUCACAGUUACUCCCAGAGGUUGUUGAAGCACUAAUUUGUUUGAAAGAUUGGUUGCCAUCAUUCAAAUCUGGUUCCACUAUUGACGCAUGAGCAUGACUGUCAGUUUUGGAGCUAGU